UCUCCGUUGGUGAACCAGCGGAGGGAUCAUUACAGAGUUGUAAAACUCCAAAACCUACUGUGAACAUACCUACUGGUUGCUUCGGCAGGCGGUCCCAGGGCGGGACCAUUGCCUUUCUCAGGCGCCUGCCGGAGGAUUACUACUCUAUACCAUACCUGUCAUUCUGAGCUCGUUAUAAAUAAGUCAAAACUUUCAACAACGGAUCUCUUGGUUCUG
rnacentral:misc_RNA from 1 species